UACGGGGGGGGGCAAGCGUUGUUCGGAAUUACUGGGCGUAAAGGGCUCGUAGGUGGCCAACUAAGUCAGACGUGAAAUCCCUCAGCUUAACUGGGGAACUGCGUCUGAUACUGGAUGGCUUGAGUUUGGGAGAGGGAUGCGGAAUUCCUGGUGUAGCGGUGAAAUGCGCAGAUAUCAGGAGGAACACCGGUGGCGAAGGCGGGUCUCUGGGCCGAUACUGACGCUGAGGAGCGAAAGCGUGGGGAGCGAACAGG
rnacentral:rRNA from 1 species